UCCUGCCUGCAACCCGAUGUAGCUGUUAUACUGCUCAGUGUGAGUAUCACAGUGUCAUUGGGUCGCAGGCGGUCCA
rnacentral:pre_miRNA from 1 species